CCUACGGGUGGCAGCAGUGAGGAAUAUUGGACAAUGGGCGGGAGCCUGAACCAGCGAAGCCGCGUGAGGGAAGAAGGUACAGCGUAUCGUAAACCUCUUUUGUCAGGGAACAAAGGCGGGGACUAGUCCCCGGAUGAGGGUACCUGAAGAAAAAGCAUCGGCUAACUCCGUGCCAGCAGCCGCGGUAAUACGGAGGAUGCGAGCGUUAUCCGGAUUUAUUGGGGUUAAAGGGUGCGCAGGCGGCCUGUUAAGUCAGCGGUAAAAGCCCGGGGCUCCACCCCGGCUAGCCGUUGAAACUGGCGGGCUGGAGUUGGAGAGGAGUACGCGGAAUGCGCGGUGUAGCGGUGAAAUGCUUAGAUAUCACGAAGAACUCCGAUUGCGAAGGCAGCAUACCGGCGGCGAUCUGACGCUGAGGCACGAAAGCGUGGGUAUCGAACAGGAUUAGAUACCCCAGUAGUC
rnacentral:rRNA from 1 species